GAUUGUCAGGUGCUGUCUCGGUUGACGUCCUACAAGCGGAAGCGGACAACUGUCAUCAUUCUCGUUGGAAACCAGAACGGAGUGGAGUUAAAACUUAAAUUGAUUACUACUAAACUACUAAAACUAAAUUGAUUAUAACCUAAAACUUACUUGCUACACUAAAUUUCUUAAAGCUAUUCGCACAAAUUAACCUGGAU